UGGUGGAGUGAUUUGUCUGGUUAAUUCCGAUAACGAGCGAGACCUCAGCCUAUUAACUAGUUGUGGAAAUCUACGGAUUUCUUACUUACGCAGCUUCUUAGAGGGACUAUCGGUGAUUAGCCGAUGGAGGUUUGAGGCAAUAACA
rnacentral:rRNA from 1 species